ensembl:lncRNA
UGGCGACAUGUGCCUUGUUCUCUCUCUCUGAAGGAAUGCGUCCGCAUCGCACGUUUCCUUUUCAUCGGAUUCCCUUGAAAGUAUUUUAUUAGGCAUCAUAAAUACCCUUUGUUCAUUAAACAAGUCAACAUGGGAUGUGGAACCUCAACAUCGACGGCGGUUGUACCAAUAGACUGUGAUGAGUUGACGAAAGAGGAUGAGACGGGGAGGCUUGGGUCUCGCGGGGACUCGGCGGUCUCCAAGGUGACGGCAGACAGCGGGGUGGUGGUGGAGAGCUCACUGGACCCCACGCUGCCUGGAGCGAUGCCCAGGAAAAUCCCUCCUCUGACGGGGGGUCUUCUCCAGGGCCGCGGCUCCCCUGGGGAGCGACCCCGCUCCAGUGAGAUCCUGGAGCAGCUGCUGAGCCAGGGCAUCAUCCCAGUAGGACCGCCGCGGGAGGGGGGCUCUGCCGCGGGGGGGGCCUACGACAUCACGCUGGAGGAUGGAGAGGUACCCAGGCAGAGACCUCCAGCCAGACUGGUGGCUCUGAAGAUCUCCCCCAGCAGAGACUCCAUCAACCACCAGACGCAGCAGGCCGAGGGGAGACACCAGCCCAAUGAAGAGGACCUCGAGGCUAGACUGAGGACCAAGUCGGCUCGGGUCCGAGCGCCUCCCGCCGUCUUGGCCGACUUCGAAGACCCAGAUCCCCAAGAGGACAAGCCUCUCCAUACAGCCGUCACCACCAUCGGCCCCGACCCCCAGGCCCACACCCAGAGGGUGCUCAACACACCAGUGGGGGCACUUAUGGCCAACUUUAUGUAUCACAAAUGGAUGGGCGUACAGCAUUUUUCCUGGCAUGCCAGUCUAUGAGGGGUGAGUAAUUAAUUGGUGAAUUACUAUUUUUCUAAACAUUGGUUAAACAGGAAACACGCAAUUUUUAAUCACAACUUUGGAGGAGCAGUAGAACCAAAUCAGUUGUACUGUCUUUGUGUAUUUUAACCUUUAGAUGGCGGCAAUCUCCCAAAAGUAGUCUAUGGCGUUGUUCCUCUUAAAGCAAGCCAUUACAGUGGAGAGUUACUACGGCCAAUUAGAAUAAACCUGUUAACCUGUCAAACAAUACGACUCCAGCAUAAACGUAGCUAAUGGGGAUAUUGGGAACCUUUUUUAUGUUUUAAGUGAAAGUCGGGCAGGAUUAUAAUAUAUUACCUCACUAUACUACCAAUAAAUUACCAAAAAUGAAUGUUCUAUUCUAUUAAAUUAUUCUAUUAUAUUAUAGCCUAGUUAUAAGAUAAACAUAAUUAAUUUGUUUGUGUUUGUUUUUGUUUUCCGAGGGGGCGCAGUUCUCUUAUUGGACACAAGAUGGUGCGGUUUCAAUUGAAGGGUUAUCGAUGCUUUACUUGUUGUAUUACGCCUCUAUUGAAAGCUGUUCAAUAUGUUUUUAUUUAGUUGGGACUAGAAGACAAAUUGUACAGUUUAUUCUUUAUCAAUAAAGCUCCUUUGUUUCUUCA